GAGAAUUGUACCAAAAACAAUAUGGACAAUCCAUCCAUAUCCCACCUUGUGUGCACCCAUUGAAACCAUGCUUUGGGAGGUUUCUCCUCUGUUGGAAUUGGAGAUACUCAAGCCUCCCAAGGUUUUUGUUCUCGCAACACUUUUUUUUUUAUCCUGAAAAAUCAAACAUAAUAAUAAUAAAUA
rnacentral:misc_RNA from 1 species